GACGAACGCUGGCGGCGUGCUUAACACAUGCAAGUCGAGCGGUAAGGCCCUUUCGGGGGUACACGAGCGGCGAACGGGUGAGUAACACGUGGGUGACCUGCCCUUAGCUCUGGGAUAAGCCUGGGAAACUGGGUCUAAUACCGGAUAUGACCUCAUGACUCAUGUUGUGGGGUGGAAAGCCUUGUGCGGCUAGGGAUGGGCCCGCGGCCUAUCAGCUUGUUGGUGGGGUAAUUGCCACCAAGGCGACGACGGGUAGCCGGCCUGAGAGGGCGACCGGCCACACUGGGACUGAGACACGGCCCAGACUCCUACGGGAGGCAGCAGGUGGGGAAUCUUGCGCAAUGGGCGAAAGCCUGACGCAGCGACGCCGCGUGAGGGAUGACGGCCU
rnacentral:rRNA from 1 species